GUCUAAAAUGGCCAGCAUUUCGUACAUUAUGAGAGUUGAUGUUUUUAAUGAAAUACGUCAUUGCUUCAUAACGUCCUUUAAGACAAGGCACUUUAGUUACAAUAACUGUAUUUCUGUGACAUACAAUAAUGAGCUUUAAUUUGCCUUUGAUAAUUUACAUAUAGAAUUCUGCUCUGACUGAUUCUUCCUUUCGUCCGCCGUAUUUACAUAUGCGUACUAUUUUGUAUCCAAAUUGCGGGCAAAAGCCAAAAUGUCGGGCCGUUAUAUAUGAUUAUACGCGAUUAUAUAUUCGAUUCGCGAUCCGUAUAAUGAUUAAUGUGCAUUUAAGAAUACAAUAUUAUAUUUAUUUAUUGAAAAAAUACUAUGAAAC